rnacentral:tRNA from 1 species
GGGACCGUAGCUCAGCAUGGUUAGAGCGUUCGGCUGAUAACCGAAAGGUCCCCGGUUCAAAUCCGGGCGGUCCCA